AAAGAAUAUAGUUUUCAAAUCACGGCAAAAUCGUGAUUUCAGCAACACGCCAAGAUGAAUCAUUGUUUUCAUGGACAACUGUGGGAGGCACUUUGGGUCCCUAUAUCCUGGAGCAUUAGCCCAGCAUGGCCUCGUGCGUACUGGGACUUACACAUACGCACAAACCUGCCCAUCUUGGCCACUGUUAACACGUGCCAUUAACUUCAUGUAACUCUUCAGCUCACCAGACAAGUUGAACUUAAAUUUUUAUGGUCUUGUGAGUUAGUCCGAUAAAUGAAGGAGCAAGAAAGCCAACACCCAGUUGGCAAGAAUAUGACCUACUGACUGACAGCCAUUAAAAAACUCGAUUCAAUUGGCCUGAGCUUUUCUGUAUUCUAUUAAAAAUGAAAUUUCCCCCUCAGUGAAAGUAACAUGAUCAACAUUUUGAAAGUUAUGAACAUGCACAAUUAUAUAAGCCUUGAAGCAAUGACUUGUAAAAGUAUGGAUACUCUUCCUGUAAGCGGCCAGAGGUGACCCGUGGUUCAUGACUCUCUAGACCCACAAAACCAUGCAAAUUAAUAGACUCAAACCGUUAUGUUCACAUUAAGUUUAAUAUAAGUUCUACAUCGAAUAUGUACUUCUGGAUUUAUUAUUGUACAAAUUGGACUUAACAAAUUUUUAAUAUAAAAUGUAUUAUACACCAUACAUUAAUAGUUAUAUAUCUUGUUUCUUGAGAAUUAAUUUCUACCAAUUAUUUCCUUUUGAAUACUUGCUGUUGAAUUAUUCUCAAUAUACUUGUACAAAUUCCUGCCUGUAACUAGUAAAUGUGGAUAUUUCAUUAAACAAUUACUAUAUAACAUUCUCUGGAAGGUUCUGCUAAUAAUCUCAUCUGUGGUCCUAUACAUUGUUAAAAAUAUAUAGUUGCAUAUCUUCCGUUCCUGCAGAAUGCUUUUGUAGCUGCCGUUUUCUGCAGGGGGUCUGUGUUGCCCUGCCUUUUUCGUGAUUUGCAAAGUGGAAUUGAGUAUUGCUAUCGUGCCAAGCAGUAGGACGUCUUACAUAAUCAGUCCCUUUUUACUCCUAUGCAUGGGAACAACUAUUUUGAUCUAUAUACACAGCAAAUGUUUGAAAUUGAAAUAUGUCAAAUCAUAUACUGUGUUUAGAAUUAGGAGUCUGGCUGCUUUCGCUUCUUAAAUGGACCCAUUAUUUACCCAUGCUGGUGAGUUUUACACGAUUCUCUAAUUGUUCAACAUGUGGGAUCGUUCUACU
rnacentral:lncRNA from 1 species